ACGGCUCAGUAACACGUGGACAACCUACCCUGAGGUCGGGGAUAAACCCGGGAAACUGGGUAUAAUACCCGAUAGAUCUAGAUCGCUGGAAUGCUUUUAGGUCUAAAGUUCCGACGCCUCAGGAUGGGUCUGCGGCCUAUCAGGGUAGUAGUGGGUGUAAAGUACCUACUAGCCUACGACGGGUACGGGUUGUGAGAGCAAGAGCCCGGAGAUGGAUUCUGAGACACGAAUCCAGGCCCUACGGGGUACAGCAGGCGCGAAACCUUUACAAUGCUGGCAACAGCGAUAAGGGGACCUCGAGUGCUACGAUACAAUCGUGGCUGUCUAGUUGCCUAAAAAGCAAUUGAUAGCAAGGGCCGGGCAAGACCGGUGCCAGCCGCCGCGGUAACACCGGCGGCUCGAGUGGUAACCGCUAUUAUUGGGUCUAAAGGGUCUGUAGCCGGCUUAGUUAGUCUCUUGAGAAAUCUGGCCGCUCAACGGUCAGGCGUUCAGGGGAUACUGCUAAAGCUCGAGACCGGGAGAGGUGAGAGGUACUUCAGGGGUAGGGGUGAAAUCUUGUAAUCCUUGAAGGACCACCAGUGGCGAAGGCGUCUCACCAGAACGGAUCUGACGGCAAGGGACGAAAGCUAGGGGCACGAACCGGAUUAGAUACCCGGGUAGUCCUAGCCGUAAACGAUACUCGCUAGGUGUCGGCCACGGUGCGACCGUGGUCGGUGCCGUAGGGAAGCCGUGAAGCGAGCCACCUGGGAAGUACGGCCGCAAGGCUGAAACUUAAAGGAAUUGGCGGGGGAGCAC
rnacentral:rRNA from 1 species